UGGGGAAUUUUGGACAAUGGGCGAAAGCCUGAUCCAGCAAUGCCGCGUGAGUGAAGAAGGCCUUCGGGUUGUAAAGCUCUUUUGUCAGGGAAGAAACGGUGAGGGCUAAUAUCCCUUGCUAAUGACGGUACCUGAAGAAUAAGCACCGGCUAACUACGUGCCAGCAGCCGCGGUAAUACGUAGGGUGCAAGCGUUAAUCGGAAUUACUGGGCGUAAAGCGUGCGCAGGCGGUUUUGUAAGUCUGAUGUGAAAGCCCCGGGCUCAACCUGGGAAUUGCAUUGGAGACUGCAAGGCUAGAAUCUGGCAGAGGGGGGUAGAAUUCCACGUGUAGCAGUGAAAUGCGUAGAUAUGUGGAGGAACACCGAUGGCGAAGGCAGCCCCCUGGGUCAAGAUUGACGCUCAUGCACGAAAGCGUGGGGAGCAAACA
rnacentral:rRNA from 1 species